UUGAGGGCGCUCCGUCCAUGGUUGCAAACCUCGGGAGGUGCUCUGUUUUGUUUUUGCAAAUGGCAGAGAAAAUUUCUGUUAGAGAUACCGUCCAUGGACUUGGAUCUCGGUGAGGGUCGCAUGAGGGAGCGACCUGAGGGAUGCAACGGACUGGAGAUUGGCCGAAUUCCACAGGCCCAUCGCCAACAAGGGGACCCCGCGCAGGGUCGACAUGAGUCCUAGCAGCGGCGCGCCACGUCUGCUGCCAGUCCUUCCUCUCUGAUCUACAUUCAGGAAUCGGGAUUUAGGAAGAGGAGCUAUGACGGGUUUCAUUCGAAGAGAAGGGGGCAGAAUUCAGGAAGAGAACCUAGGACUGAGGAAGAGGAGAAAGCGACUGCAGAAUAGGUCGAGGUUGGCUCAGUUUUGAACUAAAGUUUAUUUUGUGCCAUAACGAGAUGGCUGAAGCAAAGGCCAUCUUAACAAUUCGGCUACUAGCACACAGAUUGAUGCUCAUGCGUCUGGAUAAGUUUCAAUUUCUCUUUUAUAGAUAAAGUUUUGAAAAGCAUGCCAAAGGAGAAUGAGCUGAACAUGUAAGUAAUAGGGGACUCUCCGCAACA